CAGUAACUGNCGCUGAGGAGCGAAAGCAUGGGGAGCGAACAGGAUUAGAUACCCUGGUAGUCCAUGCUGUAAACGGUGGGCGUUAGGUGUGGGGACCGGUUUGGUUUCUGUGCCGUAGCUAACGCAUUAAGCGCCCCGCCUGGGGAGUACGGCCGCAAGGCUAAAACUCAAAGGAAUUGACGGGGGCCCGCACAAGCGGCGGAGCAUGUGGAUUAAUUCGAUGCAACGCGAAGAACCUUACCUGGGUUUGACAUGCACCAGACGGUUGUAGAGAUACGUACCUCCCUUUGUGGUUGGUGUGCAGGUGGUGCAUGGUUGUCGUCAGCUCGUGUCGUGAGAUGUUGGGUUAAGUCCCGCAACGAGCGCAACCCUUGUCUUAUGUUGCCAGCACUUUGGGUGGGGACUCAUGAGAGACUGCCGGGGUUAACUCGGAGGAAGGUGGGGAUGACGUCAAAUCAUCAUGCCCUUUAUGCCCAGGGCUUCACACAUGCUACAAUGGUUAGUACAACGCGCGGCAAGCCUGUGAGGGUGAGCGAAUCGCUGAAAGCUAAUCUCAGUUCGGAUUGGGGUCUGCAACUCGACCCCAUGAAGUCGGAGUCGCU
rnacentral:rRNA from 1 species